rnacentral:rRNA from 1 species
GAAUGGGGAAUUUCUGGUGUAGCGGUGAAAUGCGUAGAGAUCAGAAGGAACACCAAUGGCGAAGGCAACAUUCUGGACCAAUACUGACACUGAGGGACGAAAGCGUGGGGAUCAAACAGGAUUAGAUACCCUGGUAGUCCACGCUGUAAACGAUGAGUACUAGCUGUUGGAUUCGGUGUAAAGGAUCUAGUGGCGUAGCUAACGCGUUAAGUACUCCGCCUGGGGACUACGGCCGCAAGGCUAAAACUCAAAGGAAUUGACGGGGACCCGCACAAGCGGUGGAGCAUGUGGUUUAAUUCGAUGCAACGCGAAGAACCUUACCUGGUCUUGACAUCCUGCGAACUUUCUAGAGAUAGAUUGGUGCCUUCGGGAACGCAGUGACAGGUGCUGCACGGCUGUCGUCAGCUCGUGUUGUGAAAUGUUGGGUUAAGUCCCGCAACGAGCGCAACCCCUAUUGAUAGUUACCAUCAUUAAGUUGGGUACUCUAUUGAGACUGCCGCUGACAAGGCGGAGGAAGGUGGGGACGACGUCAAGUCAUCAUGGCCCUUACGACCAGGGCUACACACGUGCUACAAUGGGUAUUACAGAGGGCAGCAAAGUAGCGAUAUGGAGCGAAACUCAGAAAGGUACUCUUAGUCCGGAUUGCAGUCUGCAACUCGACUGCAUGAAGUCGGAAUCGCUAGUAAUC